UCGCUCUUCAACGAGGAAUCCCUAGUAAGCACAAGUCAUCAGCUUGUGCUGAUUACGUCCCUGCCCUUUGUACACACCGCCCGUCGCUACUACCGAUUGAAUGGCUUAGUGAGGCCUUCGGAUUGUUAGUAAAAAACUGUAACAGGUUUUCUGCCGACGAAAAGUUGGUCAAACUUGGUCAUUUAGAGGAAGUAAAAGUCGUAACAAGGUUUCCGUAGGUGAACCUGCGGAAGGAUCAUUACAAAUCGUUGGCGAAUCUCGCCACUUUUUUUUUCGUAUUUAAAACAUCCUCUCUUAAAAAUUAUUUUUAAUGAUAAAAUUAAAAAGAUAUCACUUUCAACAACGGAUCUCUUGGCUCUCGCAUCGAUGAAAAACGUAGCAAAGUGCGAUAAGUAGUGUGAAUUGCAAAAUUCCGUGAAUCAUCAAAUUUUUGAACGCAAAUUGCACUCUCCGGUUUUCCGGGAGAGUAUGCCUGUUUGAGGGUCACCCUAUAUAAAAUCGGCUUCUUUGCUGUGUUUUUCGCGGUAGUGCUUGUCAGAUAUUGGGUUAUCUUACACUUGUUUAAGUAUCUUAAAAUUUUUUUACGACUCUAAGAACGUCUCUGAGAAUAUAUCUCUCUCUUACGUUCAGUGUAUCAUAUACUAUUACACGUGCCCGUCACAUCAGAUCUCGUCCAUAAUUUUCUCUUUCACUGACCUCAGACAAGUAAGAGUACCCGCUGAACUUAMGCAUAUCAAUAAGCAGAGGAAAAGAAAAUAACAGUGAUUCCUCUUAGUAACGGMGAGUGAAGGGAGGAAAAGCUCAAAUUUUAAAUCGGUCAGGUUCUACCUGUUUGAGUUGUAAUUUGAAGAAGCGUUUUCCGCGUUCGGGUUGACCCAAAUCCUUUGGGAUAAGGUAUCAUGGAGGGUGAGAAUCCCGUCCGGUUGACCUUGAAACGCUCUACGAUACGCUUUCAAAGAGUCGAGUUGUUUGGGAAUGCAGCUCAAAAUGGGGGGUAAAUUUCUCCUAAGGCUAAAUACCGGCGAGAGACCGAUAGCGAACAAGUACCGUGAGGGAAAGAUGAAAAGAACUUUGAAAAGAGAGUUAAACAGUACGUGAAAUUGUUGAAAGGGAAACGAUUGAAGCCAGUCGUACUGACGGAAAAUCAACUUUUCGGGUGCCUAUCGUGGGUGACGUUGAGCCUCACGGUCUUCGUUGCUUGUGUUGUUGGUACCUUUGGAGUGCACUUUUUCGUAUGGUAGGUCAACAUCGAUUUUAAUCGUCAUAAAAUGAUCGGAGGAAUGUGGCUUCGAUUUCGGUUGGAGUGUUAUAGCCUUUGGUAGAUGUGACGAUUGGGAUCGAGGAUUGCAACGAAUACCCUUUGGGCUAUCCGUCUGGCCUCUGAAAGUCGCUUGGGUGCUGAAAGCUUGCUUAUAGUAUUCAAGUUGGCGGUCAACAGGUUAGAACGUGAUUACAUUCGUUAAGGAUGUUGACGUAAUGGCUUUAAACGACCCGUCUUGAAACACGGACCAAGGAGUCUAACAUAUGUGCGAGUGUU
rnacentral:rRNA from 1 species